ACCAUAGCUCAGUGGUAGAGUUCUUGCUUAGCACACAUGAGGUCUCAGGUUCAAAUCCCAGCACUGUAA
rnacentral:tRNA from 1 species